rnacentral:rRNA from 1 species
AAAGCCUCUAAGCAUCAGGUAACAUCAAAUCGUACCCCAAACCGACACAGGUGGUCAGGUAGAGAAUACCAAGGCGCUUGAGAGAACUCGGGUGAAGGAACUAGGCAAAAUGGUGCCGUAACUUCGGGAGAAGGCACGCUGAUAUGUAGGUGAAGCGACUUGCUCGUGGAGCUGAAAUCAGUCGAAGAUACCAGCUGGCUGCAACUGUUUAUUAAAAACACAGCACUGUGCAAACACGAAAGUGGACGUAUACGGUGUGACGCCUGCCCGGUGCCGGAAGGUUAAUUGAUGGGGUUAGCGGUAACGCGAAGCUCUUGAUCGAAGCCCCGGUAAACGGCGGCCGUAACUAUAACGGUCCUAAGGUAGCGAAAUUCCUUGUCGGGUAAGUUCCGACCUGCACGAAUGGCGUAAUGAUGGCCAGGCUGUCUCCACCCGAGACUCAGUGAAAUUGAACUCGCUGUGAAGAUGCAGUGUACCCGCGGCAAGACGGAAAGACCCCGUGAACCUUUACUAUAGCUUGACACUGAACAUUGAGCCUUGAUGUGUAGGAUAGGUGGGAGGCUUUGAAGUGUGGACGCCAGUCUGCAUGGAGCCGACCUUGAAAUACCACCCUUUAAUGUUUGAUGUUCUAACGUUGGCCCGUAAUCCGGGUUGCGGACAGUGUCUGGUGGGUAGUUUGACUGGGGCGGUCUCCUCCUAAAGAGUAACGGAGGAGCACGAAGGUUGGCUAAUCCUGGUCGGACAUCAGGAGGUUAGUGCAAUGGCAUAAGCCAGCUUGACUGCGAGCGUGACGGCGCGAGCAGGUGCGAAAGCAGGUCAUAGUGAUCCGGUGGUUCUGAAUGGAAGGGCCAUCGCUCAACGGAUAAAAGGUACUCCGGGGAUAACAGGCUGAUACCGCCCAAGAGUUCAUAUCGACGGCGGUGUUUGGCACCUCGAUGUCGGCUCAUCACAUCCUGGGGCUGAAGUAGGUCCCAAGGGUAUGGCUGUUCGCCAUUUAAAGUGGUACGCGAGCUGGGUUUAGAACGUCGUGAGACAGUUCGGUCCCUAUCUGCCGUGGGCGCUGGAGAACUGAGGGGGGCUGCUCCUAGUACGAGAGGACCGGAGUGGACGCAUCACUGGUGUUCGGGUUGUCAUGCCAAUGGCACUGCCCGGUAGCUAAAUGCGGAAGAGAUAAGUGCUGAAAGCAUCUAAGCACGAAACUUGCCCCGAGAUGAGUUCUCCCUGAGACUUUAAGUCUCCUGAAGGAACGUUGAAGACGACGACGUUGAUAGGCCGGGUGUGUAAGCGCAGCGAUGCGUUGAGCUAACCGGUACUAAUG